UCUUCCUGGAGUUUGUGCGUUAGCUAAAUAUCAAUCUACAGCCAGAAGCCAGUUAGCUUAACCACCGGUAAAACCACCGUUUUUGUGCAGAACAAGAUAUAAAGUGUUAAUCAUUGCCUUAGAGUUGCUGAUGCUUUGAAAACAGUCACACCCUGCAGGGAUGAUCAAAGAAGCAGGCGAUCCAUUUUGACACAACACCCUCUCAUUUGCCUCCAAAGGCAGCUCACAUUGAAUGGACAGAUUAAAAAACAUUGCUGCCAUGUUAGAUACAGACCAGCACUCACACUCCAUAAUUAUUAGCCUGAUGAUUGCACACAAGUGUUUUUGGUUGUUGCAUCUGGCUCUAUGGAUGAUGGAAGUUGUUGUAUGUAUCCACCCGCAUUUUCCUGGCUGUCAAAAAUUGCAUUCUGAAAACGCCGUACUCCUCUCAUCAAGAGUCAUAAUUUACUUGUCAAAGCAGGGGUCCUCUCAGCAUGCGGCAGGCUCCCUGGGGUUAUAAUUGCGAGACGGUUUGGUUCUCCUUAAAUGCCUCCAGUCAAGAUGGAGCACAGGCCUGCUAGUCAGGCUUUGUGUACUCUUUCCUUUUAAAAGUAGCCAUUUACACAGAAAAUUGUAAAACAUGGUUAAAAAAAUUUUUUGACUAGCUUUACUAUACUUUUGCCAUCAACUCCUUGUCAUCAGUGCCAUUUAACAUUGAUUACUUUGGUGCUCACAGAGUCAUCUCUACACUGACACAAGGUCCCCAUCUUGUGGAGGGAGCAGGAAAGUCUGUGUCAGACGGAUUUGCAGGUCAUUUAGAAUUUUUAAAGAUUUUUCAUAAAGCAAUAAAUAAGUAAUGAAUAUGUAUAUGAAUCAUUCAGAAAGCAGGAUGUAAAAUUCAUCAAUUCUCAAGUGCUGUACUGCAGUACAACUGUGUACUAUUCUACUUUUCACUCCACUACACUUAUUUGAAAGCUUUAGUAACUGCUUACUUUUCAGAUUAAGAUUUCACAUGCAAAAAAAAAAAAAUACCCAACAACAUAAUAACGCUUAUAAAAACAUAUGUAAUGUUUAAGAUUUAAAAACGGCAGUUGUAAAUCUUUUUGGCUUGUGACCUCUUGCAAAAAAAGUUGUCUAGGUGGAGCUUUUUGUUACAUUUCGCAAGAGUGAUUCUCUAGACUUGAGGCUCAAAGUAGUAAAAUUAUCAAAUUUUUCACCCAAAAAGCAAAAAUUUGAGAAAAUGGAUUAAUAUAGCAGAAGUUUUUGUUCUUUUUGUUUCCUGCCCCAUUAAUCAUCUCACGACCCCCCCACAUUUAUCUUGUGACCAUUUGGGGGAGCGACUGGAUUACAAUUCUAAUUAAAAUGAAGUAUUUUGA